rnacentral:rRNA from 1 species
GGCCUUGCGCUAUCAGAUGAGCCUAGGUCGGAUUAGCUGGUUGGUGAGGUAAUGGCUCACCAAGGCGACGAUCCGUAACUGGUCUGAGAGGAUGAUCAGUCACACUGGAACUGAGACACGGUCCAGACUCCUACGGGAGGCAGCAGUGGGGAAUAUUGGACAAUGGGCGAAAGCCUGAUCCAGCCAUGCCGCGUGUGUGAAGAAGGUCUUCGGAUUGUAAAGCACUUUAAGUUGGGAGGAAGGGCCAUUACCUAAUACGUGAUGGUUUUGACGUUACCGACAGAAUAAGCACCGGCUAACUCUGUGCCAGCAGCCGCGGUAAUAC